AGAGUUUGAUCCUGGCUCAGGAUGAACGCUAGCUACAGGCUUAACACAUGCAAGUCGCGGGGCAGCAUGGGGUUGCUUGCAAUCCCUGAUGGCGACCGGCGCACGGGUGAGUAACGCGUAUCCAACCUGCCCUUCACCACGGGAUAACCCGGCGAAAGUCGGACUAAUACCGUAUGUUGUCCAUUGACGGCAUCCGAUUUGGACGAAAGGCUUAGCGGUGAGGGAUGGGGAUGCGUCCGAUUAGCUUGACGGCGGGGUAACGGCCCACCGUGGCAACGAUCGGUAGGGGUUCUGAGAGGAAGGUCCCCCACACUGGAACUGAGACACGGUCCAGACUCCUACGGGAGGCAGCAGUGAGGAAUAUUGGUCAAUGGGCGGAAGCCUGAACCAGCCAAGUAGCGUGCAGGAUGACGGCCCUAUGGGUUGUAAACUGCUUUUAUGCGGGGAUAAAGGGACUCACGUGUGGGUUUUUGCAGGUACCGCAUGAAUAAGGACCGGCUAAUUCCGUG
rnacentral:rRNA from 1 species